GCCAGCGGCGACAGCACGUUGAAUGCACGAGUUCUCAAUAGAUCACUCCAGUUAAACAAUAUUUUCGCGUGGUUAGUAUCUGGAUGGGUGACCAUCUGGAUUGAUAAUCGCUAACA
rnacentral:rRNA from 1 species